AACGCGAAGAACCUUACCAAGGCUUGACAUAUAGCGAAAAGUGGCAGAGAUGUCAUGUCCGCAAGGGCGCUAUACAGGUGGUGCAUGGUUGUCGUCAGCUCGUGUCGUGAGAUGUUGGGUUAAGUCCCGCAACGAGCGCAACCCUCGUUCUGUGUUACCAGCAUUUAGUUGGGGACUCACAGGAGACUGCCGGGGUCAACUCGGAGGAAGGUGGGGAUGACGUCAAAUCAUCAUGCCCCUUAUGUCUUGGGCUGCACGCAUGCUACAAUGGCCGGUACAAAGUGCUGCGAGAUCGUAAGAUUGAGCGAAUCACAUAAAGCCGGUCUCAGUUCGGAUUGAGGUCUGCAACUCGACCUCAUGAAGUCGGAGUUGCUAGUAAUCGUAGAUCAGCAACGCUACGGUGAAUACGUUCCCGGGUCUUGUACACACCG
rnacentral:rRNA from 1 species